rnacentral:rRNA from 1 species
UACGGGGGGGGGCAAGCGUUGUUCGGAAUUACUGGGCGUAAAGGGCCAGUAGGCGGCCAACUAAGUCGGAUGUGAAAUCCCCAGGCUCAACUUGGGAACUGCAUCCGAUACUGGAUGGCUUGAAUCCGGGAGAGGGAUGUGGAAUUCCAGGUGUAGCGGUGAAAUGCGUAGAUAUCUGGAGGAACACCGGUGGCGAAGGCGGCAUCCUGGACCGGUAUUGACGCUGAGGCGCGAAAGCUAGGGGAGCAAACGGG